GUCAGAGUUGGCUCUGGAGCCAGGCCCGGGGAGUGGCUCUUCCUGUGCCUCAGUUUCCUCCGCUGUGAGGUGCUAUGAAUCAUGGAGUUGGGAGGAUUAAUUGAGUCACUGUGUGUAAAGUUUGGGGAAGAAUGCCCGGCACAGGGUAAGGGCCGUGUCGCUUGCUGUGAGCAUCACCGUCUGCCUGGUUUCCGUCCUUUUGUUUCUUCCCAUUGCCUUUCUCUCAGCACACGUUAGUUUAAAAGUGGAGUUUUGGCAUCCAGGCAGCCACAGGUGGAGUCUGCGCUGCUGUGCUUGGUGCGUGACCUUGGCUGAAUUGUCCAGCUUCCACGAGCCCCUGCCUUCCCAUUCAGAAUGCUGCUGAUGGUGUUGGAUGAGAUAAUGGGCAUCUCUUGGUCAGCGAGCACCUGGCAUGCGGCUGGGACCCCGGCAGCGGCUGUGCUCGCCCUUAUCUCUCCUUCCCUGAGCCUCCAGCUCCCCCACCCUUGGGACGCCUUGUCCCCCUGGCAUUGCCUGCCUCCCGCCUGCCUCUUUGUUUCCUUUAUGGUCUCCUUGUGUGUCCUUGUUUCUGCCUCAGAUUGUGCCUGGUCCACUCCUGCUCCAGAGGCCUUUCCUGCCUUCCCUCCUUCUCUUCCUUCCAGCGGUUUAUUGAAUGGCUCUUCUGGGGCAGCUGCUCUGAUGGGAAAAUUCGUGUCCAUACAGACAUGGUUUCUGUCCCCAUGGGGCUUGUGGGUCGGCCUUAGCCACAGAGUCAAGACAGACGAGUAUAUAAUCACGAGGAUGCCUCAGUCUACCCGUGGGGCCCCUGGGGAACAAUGACCACGGUGUUUGGAUGCGGUGACCCACCAGCUCCUGCUGCUGUCGUCUUCCUCGAGUCACUCCAUCUCGCCACACCCCGGGGGGCCCAGCACCCUCGCCACCACCUGCCACCAUGUCGACCUCGUCGCUGCGGCGCCAGAUGAAGAACAUAGUCCACAACUACUCAGAGGCCGAGAUCAAGGUCCGAGAAGCCACGAGCAACGACCCUUGGGGCCCAUCCAGUUCCCUAAUGUCUGAGAUCGCUGACCUAACCUACAAUGUCGUCGCCUUCUCCGAGAUCAUGAGCAUGAUCUGGAAGCGGCUCAAUGACCAUGGCAAGAACUGGAGGCACGUCUACAAGGUAACAGACACGAGAGCUUGAGAAUGUUGAGUCUUAGGACUUCAAAUUCUUUUUGAAAACAUGGUACAUUGACGAGCUUCGUCCACAUAGAAGGCCGAAGCGGGUGCCCAGUGUUCGUCCCUCUGCGUGCCCGGAGCCCAGUUUCCUCUCAGAGGCAGCUGGUGUCCCCAGCGUUUGUGUUCUCCUUCAGGUGUGUGUGGACGUCCACAGGCACCAGGGAAUUCUGGGAGCCGUGGGGCUGUUGUGUGUCAGCUCUGGUUAUGUUGUCAUAGGCGAUUAUCAGAACUGAGAGCUGCACGUGAGAACUGGUGCAUUUUAUCAUAUGUAAACUACCGCCGGUUUUAAAAAGGAAAAUGGGCCUAUAUCUUAGAGAUUGUUUCUUGUCAAAAUAUGGAUUUGUCACCUUUUUUCCUUCUUUCCUUUGUUCCUUCCGUCCUUUUCUCUGCCCUUCCUUCCUUCCCUUUUUUAACAACUGCUGGUUACUCGGUGUUGAAUUUUUAAGUGGUUUGUGGUGUUUUGCUUUUGUUAACAAGACUGCCACGAGUAGCCUCAUUUAUUUGUCAUUCUCUGGAACUGGAAUUUCUGGGUCAAGGGGCACAUGCACGUGUCAUUUGGAGAAACGUGGACAGAAUGCCCUCCACGGGAAUCCUUUUGCUGGUCCCUAGUGAUGUGUGCACGUGUCCUCAUCUAGUGACCAGACAAGACUACAGGCUGUGGUCAAGGGGAACGUGUCUUUGGGCAACACUCAGUGAGCAGUUUUUCCAUUUUCUGGCCUGGGUCCUGGUAUCCUCCCCUUGGGUCAAGAAGUGGCAGUGGGCACAGGCUGGGGCAGAUGGCCAGGUCCCACUCCUGGCAGUGAGGCUCAGACCAGCCUGUGGACCUCCUUCUGUGUGAGCUGGAGCAAGGUUCAGCCGUGUUGGCGAGUCCUCUUGCUGCCGUUUCUUCAGUGAACAUUGGCGGAGGGUCUGCUCUAUGUGUGGCCGUGGACGAGGCAGAUGAAGCUCCUGGCCCCAUGGACUGCAGCUGGGGCCUCUGCCGGCUGGGCUCUCCGUCCCUCACCGGCACGGUAGCUCCCUCAUUUCCCUUGGGCCUGGAAAUGCUCUGGCUCGUUUUCACGCCCAUCCCGACAAACCCGGGUUGGGUUCUCAUUCCCGUGGACUCUGUGCUGGGUCAGUUAUGUUGCUGUUUGUUGCGAAGGACUGGGUGGCGUUUGUCUAGCUGAGAAUCAGGGAAAGGGUGAGGGGUAUGGGUGAGCGUUCGUGUGGAGGCGAAGGGAGGAGAAGCUUGGUGGGGCUCAUGGACCGUAUGCGAGGAGAGGGGAGUCCUGAGGGGCCCUGACUGCAGCUGGAGACACGCAGCUGUGGGCACAGAAUCCCCGAGAAGUACUUUCCUGUCCCCACUUUUUAGGUGGGGAUGUGGAGGCAUGAGGAGGCUCGGGGCUGCCCAGAGGGCAGGGGGAAAGGAGUCCCGGAGCCCGUUCUGACUCAGCUGUCACCUCUCUGCUCUGAGGAAUCAGGGUCUCAGGUUUUAUUUCUUUUUUUUUUUUUUUAAACAUUUAUUUAUUUGACAGAGAGAG